rnacentral:rRNA from 1 species
AUCCUGGCUCAGAUUGAACGCUGGCGGCAGGCUUAACACAUGCAAGUCGAACGAUGACUCUCUAGCUUGCUAGAGAUGAUUAGUGGCGGACGGGUGAGUAACAUUUAGGAAUCUACCUAGUAGUGGGGGAUAGCUCGGGAAACUCGAAUUAAUACCGCAUACGACCUACGGGUGAAAGGGGGCGCAAGCUCUUGCUAUUAGAUGAGCCUAAAUCAGAUUAGCUAGUUGGUGGGGUAAAGGCCUACCAAGGCGACGAUCUGUAACUGGUCUGAGAGGAUGAUCAGUCACACCGGAACUGAGACACGGUCCGGACUCCUACGGGAGGCAGCAGUGGGGAAUAUUGGACAAUGGGGGCAACCCUGAUCCAGCCAUGCCGCGUGUGUGAAGAAGGCCUUUUGGUUGUAAAGCACUUUAAGCAGGGAGGAGAGGCUAAUGGUUAAUACCCAUUAGAUUAGACGUUACCUGCAGAAUAAGCACCGGCUAACUCUGUG